UGCCAAUGAUGCUUUCUUCUUGCACGUAUUAUCAGAGUACGUCAUGAUGAAACCAUGUUAUUGUCACUACCUCUGAGGCA